CAGCGCCCCCACAGGCCAGGAGGGGAACAGCUUGGUGCAGCGCCCCCACAUGCCAGGAGGGGAACAGGUUGGUUUGACUCAGAGCAGAGAAAGAGAACCAGAACAGAUGUUAAAGUUUUACAAUCGAACCGCGUCCACCGAACCAUCAGGAGUGAAAACAUUAUUAUGCAGAACGCUGCAGAGCGUCUGUAGAGACUCUUAUUCCUUAUCUGUGACGACUGUUAAUUGUAUAAAAUAAUGAUUGUUGAUAAAAGGAAACUUUCAUCACAGAAAAACUAAUUGGCUCCUGCAGUAUGAGAACUUCUUUCCUUUUUUAAUAAUUGUCUUUUUAAUCUCAUCAAACUUGUACACAAUUUUAAUUAUGUUAAUACCCAAAGGGGACAUUUUCUCCUUUUAUUGGACUGCCAGUAUCUCCCCCAGUUUGUGACUUUAGAAUUCAAACAACGUUUUAAGUUUUAUUUCCCGUUAAGCAUGAAAAUACUCACACUGCUAUUGUUUUUGAUUCAACAAGUGGAGCAUAAAGUCACAUUUAAUAUUUGGUCUUAAGGACUGUAUGAAAAAGAAAAUAUAUAAAAACUAAAGAGUCCAUUUUCUCUGAUGUGUCCAUCAGAAAAUCUACCAGGUUUUCUAAUAAAAGUUUAAAAAUGCCUCUUGAGAACUAAGUAAUUAAUCAUAAUAUCUGAGUUAAUAUGUAAAAAUGAUAUCAGACAAAAAUGUAAUUUUUUAGUUUAGAUCAUUGCUCAGAUGGUAGAAAUCAACAUAACUGGAUAUUCUGUAGAUUUUGUUGCUGAGGAGCAUAAAAAGAUGGAGACGGCUGCUGAUUAUUUUCUGGGUUUUGUUUGAGGAUUAAUCAGAUGAAUCAGCUAAUAGUGGACCUAAUUUAUGUUUAAAACUUUAGCAUUUUGCCAAAUUUGAAAACAUUUAGCACAAUUAGCUUCCCCUACAUUGGUUUUUCCAGAAAUAUUCUAACGCCCUAAUUUACUUGGAUGUUGUACCAAAGUGUAAAUUUAGCUUUAGCUUUAGCUAAAUACCAGGCUGGUAUAGCGGUUUAGUGUUAGCUUUAGUUUAGUGUUUGUUCUUUUUAAAGGUUUUAUUGGUUCUAGUGGCCUUUAUUUGACAUCUUGAUAUUUUGAUUUACCUUCAGUUUCUGCUAAAUACCGCAUUGGUAUAGCACUUUAGCAUUAGCUUAACCUAAAUACCACGUUGGUUACAGCGGUUUAGCGUUAGCUGAGGCUAAAUAGCGAGUCACUAUAAUGCACUAGCAGGAUAAAUGUUUAUGAUUUGCACUUUAUGGUUAUCUCAAAUGACUUUUUAAGUUUGCUUUUGUGCCUCCUGUUGGACUAAUAAAAGGAUUUUAGAUUGUGAAGGAAUAAUUCCUUCAACAAAUAACAUCUGUCCUUUCUUUCUUUGCUAAUCUACAAGAUUCAGUAAAAUAUUGAUGGUUUGUUGAGAAAAUUCAGCAAAGACAUGGGAUAAUAACACUAAACACUCAACAGAUUUACUGCACGUCAGCCGAGAGACGAGGUUAGAAGCAGCGAAACCUUUAAUUCAUGUUGACAGCCUCAUCUGUAGCUGAUUGUCAGCCAGCGCGGCUGAACCGGGCCAGCAGCCUGCAGAACGGCCCGAAACAGGUGUGACACCAACUUUCUGCCUCACAGGAGACGAUAAAGCCCUUGGUCAAGGGUACAGCACCUGGGCCAUUGUUUUACCACACAAAAUGGCUUUUAAGUGCAAAUUUCCACUUGGUCCUAAAGGAGACCUGGCCUCUGCACUUGCUUUACUCGUCUGAACCAAUAUGUGAACCGGCCUCAUUUGCAUAAUGGGCAGAAUGGAAAUGAGGGGCCAGCUUUGUCACACCAAGACAAAAAGAAGAAAGAAAAACGGAGGCAGACUGAUGCCAUUCUGCUGAACUGCAUCUGUGCAGCACAAAGGUGUGAUAUCUUGAGGCUUAUCUGACCACUUUUAAUUAUGAUCAGAGGUUAGAUUGAGCACUGCCACCCUUGUAGCAAAACAAAAGACCUUUAGAUGGCAAUUAAUUGGGGAAUUACCAGAGAACAGAGAGACAAUGUAAUAUAUUUCACGGCAAAGCGAAGGUUUUUAGACGCUUCUCUCCUGCUAGCUGAGUUUCACUUCUGUUUCAUCAUUAGUUUCCAACUUUCAUCCUGCAGUCUGACACCAGGAGCCGACUGAGGGAUGAAUCCACAUCAACAUUCGGCAAGCAGAAGAUAAAAAGACUUUUUCUUCUCAGGAAAUCAAUGACCAACCCACAUUGUGUCACUCACGUUCUGACGGUUGUUUAUCUUGCAGCUCCUUCCUCAGGAAAUAUCCUGGCCUGUCAAAGGAAGCAGUGGGUCGCCUUUAAUCACGCAACUGUUAUCUCGUGGCGAGCCAGAUUUGGCCCCCGGACCUCGAGUUUGACACCAGCUGUAAAGCGUGCAGAGGAAUGAUGAAGGCGCGUCGGUCGGUGUGAAGUUAGGAAACCUGAACAGCAACAGAGAUUCAAAGUGGAAGACAGAAAAAAACCCGUCCGAAAAUCGGUGUCACAAACUGGCCGAGCCCCGGCUGGUCCGCAGCGCCACCUAACAUCCCCGCAUGAAUAUUCAUGCGGACGGAUUUCUCUUUUGUUGCCUGCCUAGUCAGCAGUCACCGAACACAUGGUGAGUGUUGGCAGCGCCCGGCCUAGGUAGAGGGGCCGUGGACGGAGGCAGUGGCAGGAACCAGGACCUGUGAGGCUGACUGACAUUUCCAUCUGUGGCGAGGCCUGGUAAUUAUCGGGGAGAGGAGCGCCCGCAGCAGCGCGCCAUCUGCUAGGGGAGAUGGCUCAAUGAGGUAUGAGCACGAGCGGCUCUCCGUCGGGCCACUGCCUGCCUCUGACAUGAGGGCUCGCAUCUGCUACCGAGGAGCCGGGCCGCCCAACACAGCCUGUCUGCCUGGCCGGGAGAGGGGGCUGACAGGAGGGAGGAGAGCAGCCAACAGCCCCCCUGACCCGCGCCGCCCUCCGCCCCCUCGCCGCCGCUGCCCUGCCAAAGGAACACUUGACAAACAGCACAGCCCACUCACAAGUUUUCAUACAGAUCUCAUCGAGUUGUUGGGGUUUUCUGUAAACGGCGCCGCAGAGAUCCGGUUCUGGCUCGGUGUUACGGUUUGUUUUCUGACUCAUUCGGCUCGCUAAGACUGCAGAUCACACACCUGGCGAGUGUGUGGGUGUUUAUGUGUGUGUGUGUGUCCUCGUUCUUUCUGUUUGAGCCCAGUAUGGCGAGUCCAACUGGGUGCUGCUGAUAUUACAUUCAGCCCACAGACUCACUCUCAGAUCCGCACACCAACAUCCCACAGUAACGGUACGGAGCUGCAGGAUGCAGAAAAACACAGCUGUGAACAAGACUCCACUUUACAGCCAUGUGUGUUUUCAAUAAAUUCCCUCUAAAUAAAAUAGAUUUCAUCUAGUCACACCCUGGAAGCUGGCGGCUGAAAACUGUCCGUUUGGCUUAUUUAUCUACAACGGAGAAUUAGGGCUAAAAAUUAACGCUAAGAACAU